rnacentral:rRNA from 1 species
ACACCGGCAGCUCUAGUGGUAACAAUUUUUAUUGGGCCUAAAGCGUCCGUAGCCGGUUUAAUAAGUCUCUGGUGAAAUCCUGUAGCUUAACUGUGGGAAUUGCUGGAGAUACUAUUAGACUUGAGACCGGGAGAGGUUAGAGGUACUCCCAGGGUAGAGGUGAAAUUCUGUAAUCCUGGAAGGACCGCCUGUUGCGAAGGCGUCUAGCUGGAACGGUUCUGACGGUGAGGGACGAAAGUUAGGGGCGCGAACCGGAUUAGAUACCCGGGUAGUCCUAACUGUAAACGAUGCGGACUUGGUGUUGGGGUGGCUUUGAGCUGCUCCAGUGCCGAAGGGAAGCUGUUAAGUCCGCCGCCUGGGAAGUACGGUCGCAAGACUGAAACUUAAAUGAAUUGGCGGGG